AAGGCAAGAAAGUACCACAUAGGGAUGUACUGGAAUCAGAAGUAAUGAUGUGAACUCAUGAUUUUUAAAAUAAGUAUAUAUAAAUAUGUGUGUGUAUAUGUGCACAUAUAUGUACAUACCUAUGUAUGUGUAUGUAUAUGUAUAUGUGUAUAUACAUGCAUGCAUUUCCUAGCUCUGUCUGCUGAAAGGGCCAAGAACGAAAUACAUCCCUGUAGCAAUAAGCACAUCUACUAUUCAAAUGAUCUAUUCUUGUGUAAAUUUUGGUUAAUUGUGUUUUUCUAGGAAUUCAUUCAUUUCAACUGAGUUUUCAAAUUUAAUGACAUUAAAUUACUAAUAAUAUUACAUAAUUCUUUUUUCACGUUCAUUGAUCUGUUGUUAUAGGCCUUUCUUUUUUUAAUUUCUGAUACAUUUUUUGUGUCUUUUCUAUUUUUUUCUUCAUCAGUUUUGCCAUGGUUUAUCCACUUUGUGAGUCUGUUCAAAGAACCAGCUUUAUUGAUCAUCUUUAUUGUGCUUGUUUCUUAAUUCAUCAUUCUAUUAUUUUAUUUAUUACCUAUUUCUUUCUACUUUGGAGGGGUUAAUUUUUUAAACUUUUUAAUUGAAGUAUAAUACACAUGCAGAAAAGUGCACAAAUUCUAAGCGUGUGUAGCUGCAUGAGUUUUUCACAAGGUGAAUAUACCUGUGUAAAUAGCACCUAGAUCAAGAGACAGAAUAUUAUCAGCAUCCUAGAAUCUCCUCCUCUGUACCCUCUUUCAGUUUCCAGCCCCUAAAAUAGACAUUAUCCUGACGUUUAACACCACACAUUCGUUUUGCUUGUUUUGAACUUUCCAUAAAUGGAGACAUGCAAUAUGUACUCGUGUGUGUCUGGCUUCUUUUGCUUAACCUGUUAUCUUUGGAUUUCAUUCAUGUUGUUCUAUGUAGCAGUAAUUCACUCUUUUUGUUGUUAAAUAAUGUUUUAUUGUUCUAGUCUCUAUUUUUGAUGAGGUCCAAUUUAUCAAUUUUUCCUUUUAUGGAUUAUUCUUUCAGUCAUAGUAAGAAUUAUUUGCCUAGCCAAAGAUUUUUCUCCUUUUUCUUUCUUUUACUUAUUUAUUUACUUAUUUUUUUUGAGACAGGGUCUUCAUCUGUAGCCCAGGCUGGAGUGCAGUGGCAUGAUCUCCACUCACUGCAACCUCUGCCUCCCGGGUUCAAGUGAUUCUUGUGCCUCAAACUCCUAUGUAGCUGGGACUACAGGUGCGUGCCACCACCCAGCUAAUUUUUUUUUUUUUUGUAUUUUUCAUAGAGACGGGUUUCUCCAUGUUGGCCAGGCGGGUUUCAAACUCCUGGCCUCAAGUGAUACACCUGCCUCGACAUCCUAAAGUGCUUGGAUUAUAGGUGUAAGCCACUACGCUCGGCCAUACGUUUUACAUUUAAGUUCAGAAUCCAUUUUAAAUUACUUUCUGUAUAAAGUACGAGGCUUAGAGCAAGAUUUUUUCUUUCCUAUUUUAUUUUCUCCUGUGUAUGUCUAUUUGCUUGAGUACCGUUUGCAAAAAAGGCUGUCCUUCCUCCAUUGCAUUGGUUUUGCACCUUUGUCAAAAAUGAGUUAGGCGUCCCUCUCCCUCUCCCUCUCCCUCUCCCUGCCUCUGCCUCUCCCUCUCCCCACGGUCUGCCUCUGCCUCUGCCUCUCCCUCUCCCCACGGUCUCCCUCUCCCUCUCUUUCCACGGUCUCCCUCUGAUGCCGAGCCGAAGCUGGACUGUACUGCUGCCAUCUCCGCUCACUGCAACCUCCCUGCCUGAUUCUCCUGCCUCAGCCUGCCGAGUGCCUGCGAUUGCAGGCGCGCGCCGCCACACCUGACUGGUUUUCGUAUUUUUUUGGUGGAGACGGGGUUUCGCUGUGUUGGCCGGGCUGGUCUCCAGCUCCUAACCGCGAGUGAUCUGCCAGCCACGGCCUCCCGAGGUGCCGGUAUUGCGGACGGAGUCUCGUUCACUCAGUGCUCAAUGUUGCCCAGGCUGGAGUGCAGUGGCGUGAUCUCGGCUCGCUACAACCUCCACCUCCCAGCAGCCUACCUUGGCCUCCCAAAGUGCAGAGAUUGCAGCCUCUGCCCGGCCGCCACCCCGUCUGGGAAGUGAGGAGCGUCUCUGCCUGGCCGCCCAUCCGUCUGGGUGGGG
rnacentral:lncRNA from 1 species